UGCGCCCCUAUUCUGAGGACCAGAUGGUAUAUCCCAGCUCUCCUCUCUCCUCCCUCCUGUUUGCAGUGUCCUCCAUCUCUCUGCUUUCUCUCAUUUUUUUCAUACAUUGAGGACAUCCAGACCUGACUGUGGUUUAUCCUUCAUCCAUUAUUCCUGAACUUUGUGCACAGCUCUUAGGAAGGGCUGAUUUAAAAAGACUCCUUGUGACCGGACCACGCCUCUGUCCCUGAGUCCAUGGAAGGUAAAACCAAGACUGGGGCUCCAGCACCCAAGGCAGCGUCUAAAACAGAGAAGAAGGAAUCAACAGCUCCACGCAAGGUUGACCCCUUCCCCACUGCUCCGGCGUGCGAGAAUCCUCCUCCCCAUGAUGGAUCGGCAGACGCUGAGGCAUCAGCUGCAGCUGAUGAAGCCGCAGGCACCGGCACAGACUCUCUGGAACAUCUGAAACCCUUUCUCAUAGGUGGUGCCGUCAUCGCUGCAGGGGCCAUCUUACUGGGAGUGUUUUUAUUGGCCAGAAGAAAUUAAAUCCAUCUUAUUAUAUCAAGUCAUUGUAUUAGUUGGAGAAUUGGGGUUCACAUUGUGAUUGGUUGAUGGACUGCCAUAGGGAGAUGGGGGCAACUGGGUACUUGUGUCCUUUGGUUUGCCUUCACUUUGUAACAAAUUGAAAUACUCAAGUCUUGAUAUAUAGACACCAUGAGUAAUAUAGUUACACACAGUAUGUGCAUGAAUUUGCUUCAAUACAUUCUAAACUUAAACUGUAUACUCAUAAAAAAAAGUAGUACUGCUGUCACAGAACUGAACUCUGUAAAGGCUUGUUCAACGGAUUUAUCUUCUUUAAUCCAGUUUGAACAAAUAUUAAUAGAGGUUAGUCAUAUUCAUACAUGCUUGGAACAGAUAAAAGCUUGGUUCACUUUGCUAAUCAAUACAGAAAAUCAAAAUUUAUGUUUAAAGGAGAAAAA